ensembl:Y_RNA Y_RNA Y RNA
GGCUGGUCCGAUGGUAGUGGAUUAUCAGAACUUAUUAACAUUAGUGUCACUAAAGUUGGUAUACAACCCCCCACUGCUAAAUUUGACUGGCUUUUU